CCUACGGGAGGCAGCAGUUAGGAAUUUUGGGCAAUGGGCGAAAGCCUGAUCCAGCGACGCCGCGUGUGCGAUGAAGGCCUUUGGGUCGUAAAGCACUGUCGACAGGGACGAAAACUCGGUGGAUAACACCCACCGAGCUUGACUGUACCUGUGGAGGAAGCACCGGCUAACUCUGUGCCAGCAGCCGCGGUAAU
rnacentral:rRNA from 1 species